rnacentral:ribozyme from 1 species
AUACAUUCACAUAGUCCAUAACAGAAGAAUUCAUGUUGCAGCCCUUGUCAGAUUCUGAGGAAUCUGUGAAUUCUACU